AGAGUUUGAUCCUGGCUCAGGAUGAACGCUAGCGGCAGGCUUAAUACAUGCAAGUCGAGGGGCAGCACGGGUAGCAAUACCUGGUGGCGACCGGCAAACGGGUGCGGAACACGUACGCAACCUUCCCAUAACUGGUGAAUAGCCUUUCGAAAGAGAGAUUAAUACACCGUAACAUAACGAAAAGGCAUCUUUUUGUUAUU
rnacentral:rRNA from 1 species